CAAAUAUCUAGUUCUAACUAGUUACAGGACCAGUAAGUACUAUACUAUACUAUACUAUAACUAUGUACUCUGAUGUGGAAGCUGGACUUGUUCUCUCUUGGGGUACCUGCUGCCAUGUGUCUAGCCUGCUGAUCUGGGCCAACCCCGCUCUCUUGGAAUCUUGGCCAUUGUGUGAUGACGACCUAUGCCUGCCCUAUGCUGCAGAAUAAUGACAGUGCAAGGCAUACGUUCUUUUGCUUCUCUCCCUCUAUAUUUUUAAAUUUUUCUCCAAUAAAUUCUAUACUAUGUUUGCACCAUGUGGCACUACUGCUCUGUAUCCAUGACCCCUUUUCAUGACACAUAGCAAAAAUAUAUAUCUUUAAAUCAUACUCUAAGCUGCAAAGUGCUCUCGCUGUAAGUGGCAUGAUGACCUGAGACCAACCUCUGGUGAAUAGUCACACUGAAAGAAAUUGUGGGCAGAGUGUCCCACAUUUCACUAUUUAAAUUAUUUCUCUUUCUCCUCCCUACCUCCCCUCUUUUCUUUUCUUUUCUUUUCUUUUCACUGAGUAAUUGUACUUGAUUCAUGAUUCAUGUAAGUUAAAGGCAUAUAUGAUUCAACUUUCCACUUUAUUUUAUGAGAGGUUUUGAUGAUUGCAGGGUAGCAACCCAAACUACAUUUGGAAAGAAGUGGACAAGAGGUGAGUGCUGUCCUCUCCCUGGAGGCCUGGAUGACAGCAGUGGUGAUGGUGGUCACCGAUAGAGUGCAGCUAUGGACAGUGUAGUGGCAGGUUCACAAAUCUCCAAGUCAAAGGCACCUUUUGGAAAAAUCCUGAAUAGGGCAUGAGUGUCCCCGCUAUACUCAGACAUAGCCUUAGAGCAGCCUGGGGGAAGUGCGGUUUUGGCACAACUUUGCUGGUGAAUCUAGUGGGGCAACAACUGGAUGCAUCACCCAUGCUGUAGGCAGCAGGAGAUCUGAGUGGUGUUCUUUCAACAACCACUGCAGCUCUAGGAAAACCCGAUAAGAUCUAGUCUCUGCUUCCUUCCAUGCUACAUCACCAGUCCUGCUUCCAUGCUGGCCUUCUUGCUGCAUUCUCAACACACCAAGUUUGCUCCUGCCUCAUGGCCUUUCCAAUGAUCAUUUCAUCUACCUGAAAAAUUCUUACCAUAGAUAUCUGUAUGUUUUGCUCCCUCAAUUUCAUUUUCUACUUUAAAAGUGCCCUUAUUAGAGUUGCCGUCCCUGACUAUUCUGUUCAAAGUAGCUCAUAUUCUCUGUUCCUUUCCACUCUCCUUGAUUGCUCUGCAUUGUGGUUUUCUAUUUUCUGUAUUUUCACUAGAAUGUAAGCUUUAUGAAAGGAGGACCUUACUUUUAUUCUCUAAUAAAUGGCCUACACCUAGAUAAAUGUCUAUCACAUUGUAAGUGCUCGGUAAAUAUUUGCUGAAUGAAUAAAUACUUGUGUUUUAAUCAAUCCACACAAUCUCUCCGAUUGAAAAUAGUGCCCUUAUAUGUAAGGAGGGAGAUCUAUUACUUUAAGACAUGUGCUGGAAAGAUUUACUGUAUUAGUUCAUUUUCACACAACUAUAAAGACAUACCUGAGACUGGGAAUUUAUAAAGAAAAUAAGUUUAAUUGACUCAUUUCCACAUGGGUGGGGAGGCCUCAGGCAACUUACAAUCAUGACAGGAGAGGCAUGUCUUACAUGGAGGUAGGUGAGAGACAGCGUUUGUGAGCGCAGGAAAAACUAUGAUUUAUAAAACAAUCAGCUCUCGUGAGAAUUCACUCACUACCAUGGGAACUGCAUGGGGGAAACCACUCCCACGAUCCAAUCACUUCCCUCCCGGGACAUGUGGGGAUUACAGUUCAAUAUGAGAUUUGGAUCAGGACAAAAAGCCUAACCAUAUCACAUACUUUUGUAAUCUGCUGAAGAAUCUCUACCAGGGAGAUGAUAAAAGUUCUCACUAAUUUUUAAUUUCAUGAGGCAAAUCACUAGGCAAUACUACUUCUUUAUUUUUUAGUCUACUUCAUUUAUUUAUAAAGUCUUAGACCCUAGUGAGCUUUUCUAACAACACAGCCCACUCCAGUCUCUAAUUCAAUAUGAAGCCUUUCGUUUAGGUUUUAACACUAUUGUGGUAUGUUUUAUUCAUUAUUGUGUGGUUAUCCUCCAGAUGCUAUAACCCUUCAGUCACCAUUUCUACUUCCCAGUACUUCAUCUUUCAUUCUUUUCAUGACAAAAGUCAUGUUUAUCUUGCCUAAUUUUUGUACUUUGGUGAAUGCACUGGAUUGCUAGUUUUCAUGGGGUUCAAGGACUCCAAUAAUCAGUAUCUUGUACUACUUUAAUGACCACAUGGAAUGCAAGCCAUUCUUUCAGAUUGUGAGAGUCGAAUGCAAGCCAUUCUUUCAGAUUGUGAGAGUCGAUGUUAAAUGGAACUCAAUCUAAGCCUGUUUCUUUUGACUCACUGGAUACCUCUUUCACACACCCAAUCUGUUGCUGUUUGUCAUUAUUUCUUGUUUAUAUUCAGCUCACCCGUUUUCCAUUUCUGUGAAUGUGUAUGCAGGCCAAUUUUACUUCAACUUUAAAGUAGGAUUUCAUGAGAUCCAAUUAAGUAUUUUUCUAAUGCUCAAAUAUACAGUGUCCACUACAGGAUUCUCCUUGUGCUCUAAUUUUGUAAUGAAACUGAAAGGAAAUCAAUCAGGUUUCUCUGGCAUGAGUUAGUUGUUAUAAACUCAUGCUGUUGAUUGCUUAUUCUGUGUUCCUUUGGAUUUUACAGAAAUGUUUUUCAGUGUCCUUCCACUAUUUUGAUUACUAAACCCUGAUCACACUCUUUGUUUGUUUUUUUUCAGGAAAUCAGUAAAAGGCUUGAUUUUUUCAUAUUUCUUUGUUCUGUCUCAUUUUUUUUGUUUUAAAAAUGACAAUUAAUGUGAAAUGUAUAAGGUGUUUUCCUGACAGAUGUAUGCAUAUUUACACUAUUAAUUACUUAUAAAGUAGAAAGUUUCCCAAAUAAUUUUAUUCCUAAAAAUACAAUAUUACAUAGGCAGGCCCUUAGAAGAUAAUACUCUGUCCUAUAAAGUGAACCAUGGUUUUAGAUUUGGAAAUUUAUUAGUUUAAUCAUGAAGAAAGGACAGAGUAUUAGUUUUUUCAUCUGCUGUAACAAAGAACCACACACUUGGUGACUUAAAACAAUAGACACUCUUUCAUCAUUCUGGAAGCCCUAUAUUAAAAAUCAAAGUGUUAGCAGGGCUAUGCUCCCUCUGAAACCUGUAAGAGAGAAUCCUUCCUUGCCUCUUCCUAUUUUCUGAUACUUGGCAGCAAUUCUUGACACUCCUUGCCUUGCAGCUGCAUCACCCCAAUCUCUGCCUCUGCCAUUGCAUGGUGUUCUCCCUGUCUCUCCUCUGUGUCUAUCUAAACACCCUUCCCCUUUCUCUUAUAACGAAACCAGUCGUUAGAUUUAGGAAUCACCAUACCCAGUAUGCCCUCAUCUAAAGUUGGUUACAUCUGCGAAGACCCUAUUUACAAAUAAGGUCACAUUCACAGGUACCAGGGGUUAGAAGAAGUUAAACAUAUAUUUUGGGGAGGAUACGAUUCCACUUCCUACAGCCAAGUUCCCAAGCCUCUGAAUCUUUAGCCAGCCAUUUCACUGAAAAUAUACCAAGAGGAUGAUAUACACCGUGGUUGCCAACUCCUGUUUGCGCUCCAACUCUUGUGACCCAGCGAGGCCUAGAUUAGAGGCAAGCUCUGCAACCUGUCUAUUUUUACUUUAAUAUUAAUUGAGUUCCAACCUCAUUCUAAAAGAGACUAAGAGUUAAAAUCCAAAGAGGCAACAUAUUCCCCAAAUGGCAAUGGUAGAGACAGAAAGAUAAAGGGAAUGAAUUCCUCAAAAGAACUGCAUAUCAAACCAAGAUCUUUCAGUGCCUAUGCUUUCCCUGCUGAAAGUUCCACUUCCACUGUGGCUAAUUAAAAGUUGGAUAUUUAUCAGCUGAUUAGAUGAAAGAAAUGAGCUCUCUGUAGAGGUUGAAUGCCUCAAAUAUUCCUCAGAGGCAAUAAUUUUGUCUUAAUUAUUUUGUAACUUAAAAUAAAAGAUUGCUUAAAUCAGUGAUGUGCUGGUAAGCUGGGUCUAUUUUCUUAAAAAAGCUCUGAUUUAUAGCAUUUAUCAAUUCACAUGGUAUGAAUAAAUAUUCCCACCAUGGUCAAUCUCAUGAUACCAAUGGUUUAACAACUGGCUUGAAAAACCACUGAAAAUUGUCAACUAGAUCUUUAGAACCAGUGUGAGUUGGUUCCAGCACUCGACUGAAUCAGUUCAUCAAUUUGCUGCAUGACAAUUCAGAAGAGCCUGCAAUGACAUGGAAAGUAUAGACGGGAAUAUGGUCACAUUAUGGUUUGGAAUCUGGAACAUAUGUAAAAGGAAGCAUUCACUAUCACAAAAACGUUAAGUAAUUUUUAUUUGUUAAAAGCUAAUUAAAUCAGCCGGGCACAGUGGCUCACGCCCGUAAUCCCAGCACUUUGGGAGGCCAAGGCGGGCGGAUCACGAGGUCAGGAGUUUGAGACCAGCCUGACCAAAAUGGUGAAACCCCAUCUCUAAGAAAAAUACAAAAAUUAGCCGGGAGUGGUGGCAUGCACCUGUAAUCCCAGCUACUCAGGAGGCUGAGGCAGGAUAAUCGCUUGAACCCCGGAGGCAGAGGUUGCAGCAAGCCGAGAUCAUACCACUGCACUCCAGCCUGGUUGACAGAGCAAGACUCCAUCUUUAAAAAAAAAAAAAAAAAAAAAAAAGCUAAUUAAAUCAACAAAAUGAUAGCAUAUGUAAAAUUGUCAGCUAUUUCAAAACUUAUAAUCUUCAAUGUUGGUGAAGAUACAUGACAUGGGUUAUACUUACACAUGGCUGGUGGAUGUUUAAAUUGAUAUAAACUUAAUGAAAAUAAUUAACUUUUACAAGAAGCUUGACAAACUUUAUGUUCUUUUAUGUUGUAAUUUUUUGUUAUGAUACUUCUAAUUUUUUUUUGUUAAAAAAAGAUAUCAAGCUCUUUAAGGUACUUAAGUCCCUUCUAACUGUCUCCCCAACUUCACCCUCUUCCUCUUCCCUUUCAUAUACACUCCAACCAUACUUCCCUUCUAGCAUUUUUCAAACAUAGACAAGAACCUUCCCUACUUUGCACUUUCCAUUUUCUCUCCUGCCCUUUGUUCCUGCAUGGCAGUUGCAUGGCCAACUUCCUCGUUUAAUUCAGGUCUUAUCAAAUAUUAUCGUUUAGACAGAUACCUCUGCCUAAAACAGUACUGCCUCUAUCAUGCUGUAUUCUUUUGCUCUGAAGUAGUUUUCCUUGUAGUACUUAUUACUUUACUUUGUAUUUUUUUAAUUGUUGUUUUGUUUUUUUUUCUGUCUCCUCCUACUAUAUAGGCUCCACAAGGCAGGGAUCAUGUUUAUCUCUUUUACUGUGGAAUUGCCAUCCCUAGAACAGUGGCUAUCAUGCAGUAGGCACUCAAUAAAUAUUUGUUGAAACAAGAAAUGAAUGAAUAAGUACACGAAUGAAUCUCAAAAAUCUUUUAUUUACAAAUAUUUCCAUUACUUUUUUUUCUUAGAAUCUGCUUACUAUUUUCUUGUAAGUAUGUACCACAACUUAUUUAAUCAAUCCUCUAUUAAAAGAUAUUUAGGUCAUUUUAAGUGUUCCCUCUUGUAUUAAAUAUCCUUGUAUGUACAUCUUUAUACACCUGCAUAUCUAUAGGCUAAAUACCUAGAGCUAGAAUUUCUGGGUUAAACAAUAUAUACUUAAAAUAUCAGUAGAUAUUUCCAAAUUGCCCUCAGAAAGAGACAUAUGGCCCUGUUACCUUACAGGAGCAUGAAAAUAAAAAUUAAAAAAAGAGUUAAGUGGAUUUGUAUUCUUUAACUGACUACAAAAAACUUUUAUAAAAUCCUAUUUCUGAUUUUUGAAAGAAAAUUGGUUUACAAACAGGGCUGGAUAGAUAUUUAAAAUUCUUGAAAAAUAUAGGUAAUAUAGAUAUUUCAAACCAAAAGCCAGCCUCAGGCUUGAUGAAGAAAGACAAGAAGAAUUUAUGUCUAUAUUAAGAACAAGACAAAGAUGCUCACCAAAGACAAAAGUGUUGGAUAUUUCAAGACUUUGGAGAAGGUUGAUGGAUGAGGCAUGAGAUGAUGAGUUGGGUAAUCAGGGUCAACAGGGCAUUUCAGAUACAGAUGUGCAGUUGUAUACUGCACAAGGGUACACAUAUAAGAGAAUACAUUCACAUGAUAAACAUCACAGAUUUGUGUAUUUUAUAUGAAUUUUUUUUUUGGUGAUAGUGGGAAACCAUAUUGUUCUUAGAAAAUCAGGAUAUUAUGUCAGGUUUGUGAGGGAUGAAAGGAAACUGUCUUGAGGAAGAAUGCCUUUCCCUAAUCUUCUCAAAAGUAGAAAAUGGGCAAGUUUUGGCUCUAAAAGACAGCAUCAAACAUGGCCUGGCUCAGGCCAUCAAUUUUAUCAGGAGCUAAGUGGAUCCAAGCUAGAAACUGACCACCUGUUGUCACUGGGUGAGCGCUGUAUGUGGCCUGGACUGAUGUGCCCCAAGAUCAGUUUCCUCAUUGUAGUCUGGUGAGGAUCAUCCAUUGACAGUUGUUUGUCAAUUGACAGCUAAAGAUUAUCUGGCAGAAGCGAGGCCUGCCCAACCUCUGAGAUUUCUUGAGACCUAUGACUUUGCCUACCCAGAGCUUACUCAAGCCUCUUUAGAGGGUGGGAUUCCUGACUUGAAAGAUGGUGGUAUGGGAAGAAAACUUCCCAGGACUUAUUUCCAGGUGAGACAGAUAGUCAUAUGUAUAUAUACCUGUGUCAUAAUAUUGUUUGAUAAAUUCAAGGAAUUAUAAAUACAUGGUAUCCAGGAAUAGAAUUCUCUACAAUGAAUCCAGUUUCUUCAAAAGAAAAGAAAGAUUUUAGAAAUAGAAGAAACUGAUGACCAGAAUAAUAGAAAUGAAAAUUGGGUCAGAUUGGAAUGAAGAUGAACAUAAUUCAACACACGAAUUCCCUAUUUUUAAACCAAAAUGGCCAUUAUUGUCCACAUCUCCAAGUCUCUCUUGCUUAUCAACUAUCUGUACAACAAAUGACUGAUUGGUACUAUACUGGGGCAAGUUGUCACCACGGGGAAGGAGAGGCAUCUCUGGAGCUCUGAAUUUCCAGAUACAUGGGCCCAAUGCCACAUGGAAAAAAAAAUCUGUCUCAAUUUUUGGUUGUUCCCAGAACAGACCAAUUCCCUUAUUUAAUCUGUGCUUUAGCAUGCAUUUCUCCACCUAAAAAUAUUGUAAGUGAUACUAGCCCUGUCUAUAAGAGCCUUUUAAAACCACAUCAUAUUUAUAUUAUUUAUUUGCUAUUCCCAUUUAAUGCUUUCAUGUAACAUUAGAAAGCAUUUUAUUUUUAAAUGCAUUUAGAAAAAUAUGUAAAAGGAUGACAAAAUGAUUUAAAGGCAUAAUCUUGAACUGAAAUUGAAAAUAAAAGAAGUUAUGACCUGAGAGAGUACGAGUCAAGUGCUAAAAAAGGUCUUAGAUUUUUUUUUUACUCUCCAUUUAACAAGUAUUUAUUAGGUACCACAUAUAUUAAGAAUUUUGUGAGAUAUUAUAAAAGGUAGACAAGAAAUGGCCCAAAGUUGAUGAGAAGCUUAUUGUUCAAUAAGGAGAUGAGACUUGCUUGCAUGCAAAUAACAAGGGAGUCAGGGGUUAAAUAACAAAGCACCAACAGGUUGCCUGUGCCACAGUGAGUCUGCAAGCACAGCCUGCCAUGUUACAAAAUAAUUCAAAGUCAAUGGAAAUGUAGAAAAGAUUUCUUGGAAGGAGCAGAAUUCGAGCUAUAUUUUAGGCUAGGCAGUAUUCUUUCAAUUCAUUAAGCAACAUAAGCAGUGACUUUCAGAGUGAAAAUAAGCAGGAACUCCAUUUCCAAAACAACCAACUCAAAUGAAACAGAUGAUUCAUGUUGUUCAAAAAGUUUGGAUAGUUAGGAGGGAGAGGAUGGAGGGAGUAUUGGAGGUGCCAGAUUAUGGGGUGACUUAAAAUCUGGCCAUAGACACAUGUCUUAACUCUGCACACAAUGGGAAAUUAUUGCCAGUUGUAUUAGUCAGGCUUCUCUAGAGAAACAAAACCCAUAGGAGAUACACACACACACACACACACACACAGUCAUAUACUGCAUAAUGAUGUUUUGGUCAAUGAUGAACCACACAUACAAACUUGGUCCCAUAAAGUUAUAAUAUUAUAUCUUUACUGUACCUUUUCUACAUUUAGAUACAUAAAAACAUUUAUCCCAUGUUACAGUUGCCUACAAUAUUCAGUACAGUAACAUGCUGUACAGGUUUUUAGACUGGGAGAAAUAGGCUAUAACUAUAUAACCUAGAUUUGUAGUAGGGCCUAUACCAUCUAGGUUUGCAUAAGUACAUUCUAUGGUGUUUGCACAAUGACAAAAUCACCUAACAACACAUUUGUCAGAACAUAUCCUUAUCAUUAAAGGAUGUGCAACUGUAUAUACAUACAUGAAAUUUAUUAUAAGGAAUUGGAUUAAAUUGCCAUCUGGACAGUGGAGACCCGGGAAAGCUGGUGAUAUACAUUCCAAUCCAAAUCCAAAGACCAAAGAACCAGAAGCACUAAUGGUUUAAGUUUUAAUCUAAAGGGAGGAGAAGACCAAUGUCUCAGCUCAAGCAGUAGGGUAGAGGGGGCUAAUUCAAACUUUCUCUGCCUUUUUGCUCUAUUCAGGUCCUCAACAGAUUGGAUGAGGUUAACCUGCAUUGCAGAGGGCCCUCUGCUUUACUCAGUCUACCAAUUCAAAUGUCAAUCUUUCCUAGAAACAUGAAUCUCAAAGCAUUCGGUGUUUGACUUGGAAAUGAAGAGGUGAAGCCAACGUUUUAUGCCUGGAUGAAGCAUUAGCAAAAAUGAGAAUUUUUUUGAGGGAAAAACCUGGUUUCAGAGGAAGAUGAUUUGGAUCGAUUUUGCACACUAAAUUUCUCAUAUUCAAGUCCAGAUUUAGGCAACUGGAGAUGUAGAGCUUGGGUCUGAAGUCGUCACUGAGUGUUAUGCCAUGGUGAGCACAAGAGGUAAAGGUCCUUUGGCCUCCCAGAUGACCCAAAAUUAUAUAAAGUCUGAUCAGUGGCUAGAGGCAUUUUUAUGUAUAUAGUAGUCAAAUACGUAAAGUUUUAAUACACUUUAGAGCCUAUAGUUCUCAGAGCAUAGUGGAACCAAGGAGAAAGGAUCAUAAAACAGAGCAUCCAAGAAGUAAAAAUGGAGAAACAGAAGAUGAUAGAGGGUCAAAGGAAAGAUAGCUCCUAAGGCAAACCUUGCUGGAGGUGGCGGUGGUGGUAGGUCAGGGACCUCUGAUAGGAAUUCGAAGUAGAACAACCGGGAGGAGCAGGGAGAGCAGUAAGAAGAACAAAUAGACCUGAGUUGAAAGAGGCGGCUGGAAAAACAUAGUUUUUUGAAGGUAAUCAAGUUGCUGACCACUUUCAUAAUGAAAAUUAAGUAAUACAAUAUACCAUCUGAUGUUAAGUGUUUAUAAUUCUUAGCUAUUAUUAUUAGUAGUAGUAAGUUUACUU
rnacentral:lncRNA from 1 species